CUAUGCGCCUUGCCAGCCCCGCUCAGAAACUCAAAGGAAUUGACGGGGGCCCGCACAAGCGGAGGAACAUGUGGUUUAAUUCGAUGAUACGCGAGGAACCUUACCUGGGCUUAAAUGGGGAGUGACAGCUGUCGAAAGAUGGUUUUCUUCGGACACUCUUCAGGGUGCUGCAUGGUUGUCGUCAGCUCGUGCCGUGAGGUGUCGGGUUAAGUCCCAUAACGAGCGCAACCCUUACCGUUAGUUACCAUCAGGUUAAGCUGGGGACUCUAGCGGGACUGCCACCGUAAGGUGAGAGGAAGGUGGGGAUGACGUCAAAUCAGCACGGCCCUUAUGUCCAGGGCUACACACGUGUUACAAUGGCCGGUACAAAGGGCAGCUACUUCGCGAGAAGAUGCUAAUCUCGAAAGCCGGUCUCAGUUCGGAUCGAAGUCUGCAACCCGACUUCGUGAAGCUGGAUUCGCUAGUAAUCGCGCAUCAGCCAUGGCGCGGUGAAUACGUUCCCGGGCCUU
rnacentral:rRNA from 1 species